rnacentral:rRNA from 1 species
CCCGCUGAACUUAAGCAUAUCAAUAAGCGGAGGAAAAGAAACUAACAAGGAUUCCCCUAGUAACUGCGAGUGAAGCGGGAAAAGCUCAAAUUUAAAAUCUGGCGGUCUUGCGGCCGUCCGAGUUGUAAUCUGGAGAAGCGUUUAUCCGCGUCGGACCGUGUACAAGUCUUCUGGAAGGGAGCGUCGUAGAGGGUGAGAAUCCCGUCUUUGACACGGACAACCGGUGCUUUUGUGAUGCGCUCUCGAAGAGUCGAGUUGUUUGGGAAUGCAGCUCAAAAUGGGUGGUAAAUUCCAUCUAAAGCUAAAUAUUGGCGAGAGACCGAUAGCGAACAAGUACCGUGAGGGAAAGAUGAAAAGCACUUUGGAAAGAGAGUGAAACAGUACGUGAAAUUGCUGAAAGGGAAACGCUUGAAGUCAGUCGCGUUGGCUGGAAAUCAACCUUGCUCUUGCUUGGUGUACUUUCUGGUUGACGGGUCAGCAUCAAUUUUGACCGCUGGAUAAAGUCUUUGGGAAUGUGGCAUCUUAGGAUGUGUUAUAGCCCAUUGUCGUAUACGGUGGUUGGGAUUGAGGAACUCAGCACGCCGCAAGGCCGGGUUUCGACCACGUUCGUGCUUAGGAUGCUGGCAUAAUGGCUUUAAUCGACCCGUCUUGAAACACGG